rnacentral:lncRNA from 15 species
CAGACCCAAUACGACCGCUCCGUCCACCAUGAAGGUCCCGCAGUGCCACCGGGCGUUAAUGUAAUCUAUAAUGUAGAGUAACGGGAGAACUCCUCCGUCACAAAGUCGCUGGUUCGAUUCCUCCUGCUCGCUCUGUGGCCUCUUCCCUUUCGCUCCGCAUAUGACAGACAAGGAAACGCACUUUCCGGAAAACUACCGCCCACUUUUGCGACGGAGCGGCCAAUCACAGCGCGGCAUGUGUGAUUGACGGCGCGAUGGGAUGAUUCGGAGAGAGCGAUUGGGUCGCUAGUCAACCAAUCGCGGAGGGCGAUGCGGAGAGAGGGUUUAAAGGUGAUUCGGUCCAAUCGGAAGAGCGUAUUUUGAUUGACAGGAAGAAGCAACCAAUAGGAACGAGGACAUGACAUGCGCACUAGCCAAUCACAGUUUAUCACAGCAAAAAGCAGUUCUAGUGAAACUGACGCUGGUUGAAGCAUUACGACAAUAACACAAACACACACUAACAAACCCACCGACUAUUAAAGUUAUGAUACCCCCCCCCCCCCCCCCCCCGCUGCAGGGAAGGUUCAUUUGAAUGUUAAUCUUUGGGGUGGAGUUAUUACAUAAGUCCAGUGAGGCUGUGUGAGGACAGACUGGGACACCAGCAGCUUGUUGUGGAGGAUGGAGCAGGUGUCGGUGAGACCUGCAGGGAGGCUUCAGUCCUCAGAGCAGAGGAGACAGAAGUAGAGGUCGGACGUCGUUCUGUGAGCGGAUCAUUUGUCUGAAGAUGACAGUGAACAUCUACAUCUGCCUGUUUGCUUUUGUUCUGGGCUGUAACGUCACUUCAGCAAUAAUCCAUGAAAUAGUCGAGGAGAAGAACUCUGUCUCUCUGAGUUGUCCUCACUCUGUGGAGGGUAAAGUGACGUGGAGCAGAGAGAGAGAUGGAACUAAAGUUGACUUAUUUACAGCUGAUGGUGACAGAGAGAUAAGACACAUUAAUGAUCCAGGCAGACGAUACAGUUCAGAGACAGAUAAAUCACUUUACAUUGGUAGAGUUACUGUCUCAGACACUGGAAGAUACUUCUGUAAUAAUGAACCAGCUGUGGAGCUGACGGUGAUCCCAUCAGGAACAACCAGACUUGAUGCUGCAGAGAGGACCACCAUCACUCUGAAAUGUCCUCCUGAUGUUGGAGGAUCAGAUGUUCCAACAUGGAGCAGAGACGCUGUUGAAAUACAACAACAGAGACGGUUUCAUGUUUCAACUGUGAACAACACGUUGAUAAUAACAGACCUGCAGCCUGCUGACUCUGGACUUUAUUACUGUGAUGGAAAACCUGCUGCGUAUCUGACUGUGAACAAAGAUGAGACAUCUGAGAGAGGUGAGACACAAGAAGACAUUUUAACUGGCAAAAUAAGAGAAAAGCUGAGGUACAACAUGACCUAGAGUACAGACAUGAGAGCAGAUUCAAUACUGACUGCAAAUAAAUGUAAAGAGACUGGAUCAAUAGAAUACAAAGUACGUAAUGUACACAUCCUGCUCAGGUGGUUUCUGCUGUGAGAACGCUGCAGCUCGAUGAAACGCCACAAAAAGUGUCUGUAUUAUGAGAUGC